GUCCACGCCCUAAACGAUGUCAAUUAGCUGUUGGGGUUAGAAUCCUUGGUAGCGUAGCUAACGCGUGAAAUUGACCGCCUGGGGAGUACGGCCGCAAGGUUAAAACUCAAAGGAAUUGACGGGGCCCGCACAAGCGGUGGAUGAUGUGGAUUAAUUCGAUGCAACGCGAAAACCUUACCUGCUCUUGACAUGUACGGAACUUGCCAGAGAUGGCUUGGUGCCCGAAAGGGAGCCGUAACACAGGUGCUGCAUGGCUGUCGU
rnacentral:rRNA from 1 species